rnacentral:misc_RNA from 1 species
UACGGAGGUGACUAGCGUUGUUCGGAAUUACUGGGCGUAAAGCGCGCGUAGGCGGACUAUUAAGUCAGGUGUGAAAUCCCGGGGCUCAACCCCGGAACUGCACUUGACACUGGUAGUCUGGAGUUCUGGAGAGGUGAGUGGAAUUCCGAGUGUAGAGGUGAAGUUCGUAGAUAUUCGGAGGAUCACCAGUGGCGAAGGGGGCUCACUGGCCAGAUACUGACGCUGAGGUGCGACAGUGUGGGGAGCAAACAGG